rnacentral:tRNA from 1 species
GAGUACGUAGCUCAGUAGGUAGAGCAUUGGACUUUUAAUCCACAGGUCCCGGGUUCAAAUCCCGGUGUACUCA